rnacentral:lncRNA from 1 species
CUGCUCAGCUUCCUCAAUUUUCUACAGAUCAGAGGAUGACAGAAGUACAUAUUCUAAGGACCUGGCAAGCAGACAGGGAGCUCAACAAACUUAGUCUUGCUUCAGAAUCAUACUUGAAAGUCAGAAGAUACAGGCAGGGACUCUGGGUCAUGUUUUUGUGCUAUUCAAGGGACAGAAGAAGGAUCCAUCAGCAUCAAGGAUCCCUUCGUGAUAAAAUGAUUCCAAAAAGAUUCACUUU